rfam:Daphnia pulex DAPPTscaffold_868_Cont11301, whole genome shotgun sequence.
GGCCAGUUAGCUCAGUUGGUUAAAGCGCCGUCCUGGUAACGCGGAGGUCAUGAGUUCGAUCCUAUUACAGGUCA